AAGGCCAACCCGGUAGAAACAAGCCCGCCCGUAGGAACCCCACGAAAAAAACAUCCUUAACUGGCCACCUCGCCUCCCUCCCGAGCACCGCCCGCCGCCACCCUCCUGCGCGCCCGGCCACGGCCUCCCUCCUGCGCGUCGCCGGCCACCGCCUCCCUCCAGAGCGCCGCCCGCCGCGCCGCCUCCCUCCCCCGCGUCGCCGGCCACCGCCUCCCUCCCCGCACUGACGGCCGCGGCAUCCCUCCCCGGCACCGACGGCCGCUGCAUCCCUCCCCGCACCAAUGACCGCCGCAUCCCUCCCCCGCACCGACGGCCGCCGCAUCCCUCCCCGCACCGACGGCCGCCGCAUCCCUCCCCCGUGCAGAUGACCGCUGCAAGCUGCUCCCGCUCAUGGCCGCUGCAAGCUCCUCCCGUACGCCAACCUCCACCCCGCCUUCCCCCUCUGUUCUCCCUCACGCUCGGGCGCCAGCCAUCCUUCUUCCACGCGCGCGGCACCUCGAUCCACCGCCGGCCGACCUCCCUCGUCCCGCUUGCUGGCCGCCGUCCAUGUUGUACCAUUGUUUCUGGAAGAAAACCAACUUGGACUUCGUUAGACGGCCUUUGCACCAUUUUGAGCGCCGACAGCUCCUUCCUUUGCCAUUGAUACAGCCAUCGACAUGUACUGGGUGUUCCUUUGCAAGUUCAAUUAGUGUCAUCGCACAAGUUCAGAAGUUUGAUUUUGUGAAGAAGUAUGAAAAUUUUCAGUGCAAAUGUGGAAAACCAGAAAGUUCUAAUAAUGGUGUACCAAAAGUUCAAGGAUAGUAAUCCGGGGACGUUGGAGCAACUGCUGAUGGAGGCGGAGUCAAAAUCUCGUGACUGUCUGCUGCAGAUCUUCAGCAUGGACUUCGAUGAAGACACUCCUCUGAUGUUAAUGCGCUUCUGCAUUUUAAUAAAGAAGUUACAAAAUUUCAGUUCCUCGGUACUUAUAAGAUCUUGAGAGGAUGACAGAGGAUGCCCAUGUGUACUGUGUACAAGCCAGCCAGCCAUGUAUAAGGAUCCAAUGGAAGACUGGAUUUGGUUGUUGUUAAUUAGCAGCCACCUAAGCCUAGCAAUUGACCGUGGAGCAGGUACUGGAUCCCUGACACGAUGCAAUUACUCAUCAGUGUCGACGACUGAUUUAUUUUGUUUUGUACAAGUUAAAGCAUCAGUGGCCAUAGGGAAGGAGACCUUCCCAAAUCGUGCCCCUGGACAAUGCAACAAUGAAUUGGAGCCGUUUCCGCCUCUCUUCCAGCAGCGCUGAUGUCCCCUUCUAGUUCAGCACUGGUUUCCCCGCCUCGUGAUACGGUCUGCAGUUGCUUGUGAGUUGUCUGCUAGGUGUUGUUUAAGUGUCACAGACGACGUGUUGUCUCCUGGCAUCUGGAUAACUGCCGACUGCAAAUAAAAGCACGAGGGAGGCUGGAGCGACUGCAGACCGGUGACGAGAACCACUCUUCAGUUCUGCUAUUCGUGUAUUGGAAGUACGUACCCUCUAUCCAGGCAGGAGGUAGAGUACAAGUUUUGGAAGGCCGGGGAGUUCUACCGCUGGCGUACACCAAGUUCAGAGACGUUGCACGGAGUGAGCCGACGCCGCGGUAAAAAUGGUUUAUUAGCAUAGCGGAGAGAAUAUUUUUAUGCUCAUUUGUUCAUAGUAUGAAGCUCGUUUAUAGUUUCUUUUCUCAUUCUUUUAAUUAAGAAAAAAGUUUAUUGAGCUUGAAGCAUAAACCUCUCGGCAAUGUAACAUUCUGCUGAUAUUUAAUAAUCGGUAAGCUGUUGUAGUGGGACAAGGUCAUCAUCUUGAGGUCAGUGAUACCAUGCACGCUGAAACGAUGGCCUUACACUAGGCUGUAUGUAUAACUUGGUCUAUGGGAUGCAGGCUUGUGCUGCUUGAAACGGAUGCGACUAACCUGUAGAAAGCAUUACAGGAAGUGAUUUAAGAGAUGAAUGUGGCCAACGACGGUCAUCGCUCCUCGACUCUAUUCCCGUUCGUCACCCAGCUCACCAGUCCACCUCGGUGCUCCACCACCGGUCCCUCGGAAGAGCUGGCUGCAGGCCAUCCGUUGCUCCGCCCCUGGAUGCUGUCGUGUGGUGGCCGGCCGUCUCACUCCAAUGCACCUCCCUCUCUUUGUGUACUGGUCCCUCUGGCAGCCGUCCAAGUGGAGCGUUGACACCAGUACAAGUAGAAUUGUGGGUCGCGGCCACCAACUUCACCAAGCGUUGCACAUCCGUCCAAGUCGAGCACACACACCGGGAGAACACCAGCGCCUUUGCUUUGCACAUUGCUUGGUCAUGCAUGAUUGCUGAUGGAUGCAGCAAGCGUUUUAUUAGUUUGAUCUUCUGCAUUUUGUCUCAGUUUUCAUGGAUGCUAGCGGGCAAGUGACAUGAUUUUGGUUGCCAUUUCUCUCUGUAGCAGAUUCCAUCCGCACAAAAAAUGCUACUGCAGUUUAUUCUAUGUAAAAAAUGAAUAAGGUUCAAUUCACAAAAUGUGGAUGUUCGCUUGGGAAAUUUUGCAGUACAUUUGAUUACACCAAGAUGUACAGAAUGACUAAUUCUUUAUUGUGUGCCUUCAGCACAAUUUAAAAUUACUGGUUGACGAUA